UACGUAGGGGGCAAGCGUUGUCCGGAAUCAUUGGGCGUAAAGCGCGUGUAGGCGGUCCGGUAAGUCCGCUGUGAAAGUCGAGGGCUCAACCCUCGAAUGCCGGUGGAUACUGUCGGGCUAGAGUGCGGAAGAGGCGAGUGGAAUUCCUGGUGUAGCGGUGAAAUGCGCAGAUAUCUGGAGGAACACCGGUGGCGAAGGCGGCGUUCUGGACUGCAACUGACACUGAUGAACGAAAGCCAGGGGAGCAAACGGG
rnacentral:rRNA from 1 species